rnacentral:rRNA from 1 species
AGUGAACGCUGGCGGUAGGCCUAACACAUGCAAGUCGAACGGCAGCACAGUAAGAGCUUGCUCUUACGGGUGGCGAGUGGCGGACGGGUGGGGAAUACAUCGGAAUCUACUUUUUCGUGGGGGAUAACGUAGGGAAACUUACGCUAAUACCGCAUACGACCUACGGGUGAAAGCAGGGGAUCUUCGGACCUUGCGCGAUUGAAUGAGCCGAUGUCGGAUUAGCUAGUUGGCGGGGUAAAGGCCCACCAAGGCGACGAUCCGUAGCUGGUCUGAGAGGAUGAUCAGCCACACUGAACUGAGACACGGUCCAGACUCCUACGGGAGGCAGCAGUGGGGAAUAUUGGACAAUGGGCGCAAGCCUGAUCCAGCCAUACCGCGUGGGUGGAGAAGGCCUUCGGGUUGUAAAGCCCUUUUGUUGGGAAAGAAAAGCAGCAGGUUAAUACCCCGCUGUUCUGACGGUACCCAAAGAAUAAGCACCGGCUAACUUCGUG